rnacentral:lncRNA from 10 species
GUACUCUUUCUACUUAUUUUUAAAAAAUUAACUAUAAAACAGCCUCAGGCAGGUCCUUCAGGAGGGAUUCCAGAAGAAGGCAUUGUUAUCAUAGGAGAUGACAGCUCCAUGCCUGUUUGUGCCCGUGAAGACCUCCCAGUGGGACAAGAUGUGGAGGUGGAAGACAAUAAUAUUGAUGAUCCUGACCUGUGUAAAGGUAGGCCAAGCCUACACAGCGUUAACUGCAGUGGAAGAUUGUGCUUUUAUCAGAAGCAGCUGAACACCUGAAUCUUCAAGCUGGCUCCUGAAUCCUUUUGAUGUGACUCCAGUCAUCUUUGAUAACCUCCCUGCUCUCUGAUAUGACAAGAU